rnacentral:rRNA from 1 species
GAUGGACGCUGGCGGCGUGCCUAAUACAUGCAAGUCGAGCGAACAGACGAGGAGCUUGCUCCUCUGACGUUAGCGGCGGACGGGUGAGUAACACGUGGAUAACCUACCUAUAAGACUGGGAUAACUUCGGGAAACCGGAGCUAAUACCGGAUAAUAUAUUGAACCGCAUGGUUCAAUAGUGAAAGACGGUUUUGCUGUCACUUAUAGAUGGAUCCGCGCCGCAUUAGCUAGUUGGUAAGGUAACGGCUUACCAAGGCAACGAUGCGUAGUCGACCUGAGAGGGUGAUCGGCCACACUGGAACUGAGACACGGUCCAGACUCCUACGGGAGGCAGCAGUAGGGAAUCUUCCGCAAUGGGCGAAAGCUUGACGGAGCAACGCCGCGUGAGUGAUGAAGGUCUUCGGAUCGUAAAACUCUGUUAUUAGGGAAGAACAAAUGUGUAAGUAACUAUGCACGUCUUGACGGUACCUAAUCAGAAAGCCACGGCUAACUACGUG